rnacentral:rRNA from 1 species
AGGUAUUCCCCUAGUAACGGCGAGUGAAGAGGGAAAAGCCCAGCACCGAAGCCUGCGGCAGUUUUGCUGUUAGGCAAUGUGGUGUUUGGGUCGGCUCGUGGGAUUGCCACUCCACUCGAAGUCCAGCAUUGAGUAUGGUCACUGGAUUUGGCCCAGAGAGGGUGAAAGGCCCGUACGGGUGGAGGUUCAGAAAUGAAAGGCAGUUCACCAGGCCGGCCUUAGAGUCGGGUUGUUUGAGAAUGCAGCCCUAAGUGGGUGGUAAACUCCAUCCAAGGCUAAAUACAGGCACGAGUCCGAUAGCGAACAAGUACCGUGAGGGAAAGUUGAAAAGUACUCUGAAGAGAGAGUAAACAGUACGUGAAACCGCAUGCAGGUAAACGGGUGGCGUCAAGCUGCAAGCCCAGAGGAUUCAGCCGGUUAGGAUGUUGUGUAUGCGCCUGGCGCAUCCAUCAGUCAGAGUAUGAUUGGAUAGUCCACUGGUAAACGGUGGGCCCGGCCGCAAGGUUGGGAUGUGUGUACCGGGUGGGUGCCGGAGCAUGCUAUCCGUCUAGGGACUGUCUAGCCGGUGCACUUUCUCUGUGGCUGACACCACGACCGGUGGUAUUGCCAGUCUGCUGUGUCCAAGUCGUAUUCGGUAGGUCCUUGUGGCCACUGGGUGCGAUCACAGGCAAACUCAGUAUACGGCGUAGAGGUGUUUCGGCACUUUUGCGUGUUAUCGGCUACUGGUUGUCAACGGGCCGCCUAGUGUUUGUUGUAACCGGCACUCGGGUGGUCUGGUGGGACAUGGUGGUAAGAAUAACUGUGCAAGGCACCGGGGUUAUCGGCCUCAAAUGCACUCCGCGCCCAUGUUACAAGUGGUGUAUGGCGGUGCUGUUGCCAUCUGCUCGGUGUUGGGUCUGAUUGUCGUGUCGCCUGCGCAAAGUGGGCCCGGCAGUGGCUCGACUCGAGAUGGGUGGUGGAUGGCAUUGUCUGUGCGGGGUGUGGUGGGCCUAAUAGUCAGUGGUGUAGUGGUAGACGAGCUACCCGACCCGUCUUGAAACACGGACCAAGGAGUUCAACAUGUAUGCGAGUCAAUGGGCGUUACGAAACCCAAAGGCGCAGUGAAAGUAAAGCUCCGACUUGUCUCGGGGUGAGGUGAGAUCCUGCUGUUACUCGCAUCAGCCUAAUGCCAGCAUCAGGCUAAGAGCAGUGGGCGCAUCACCGGCCCGUCCCAUGAUGUGGUCAUUGGAUGUCUGCGGCAGUUGCUUCGGUGGCUGUCGUGGUGCCAGUGCGUCAUCGGGGCGGUGCAUGAGCAUACACGUUGAGAC